CCCUUAGAGUUUGAUCCUGGCUCAGAAUCAACGCUGGCGGCGUGCCUAACACAUGCAAGUCGAACGAGAAAGUCCCCGCAAGGGGAUGAGUAAAGUGGCGAACGGGUGAGCAACACGUGACUAACCUGCCCUUGAGUGGGGGAUAACCCCGGGAAACCGGGGCUAAUACCGCAUAACAUCGCGAGUCCGCAGGGACAUGCGAUCAAAGAGGUAAGGCGCUCAAGGAGGGGGUCGCGGCUGAUUAGCUAGUUGGUGAGGUAACGGCUCACCAAGGCGAUGAUCAGUAUCCGGCCUGAGAGGGCGCACGGACACACUGGAACUGAAACACGGUCCAGACUCCUACGGGAGGCAGCAGUGGGGAAUUUUGCGCAAUGGGGGAAACCCUGACGCAGCAACGCCGCGUGGAGGAUGAAGUCCCUUGGGACGUAAACUCCUUUCGACCGGGACGAUAAUGACGGUACCGGUGGAAGAAGCCCCGGCUAACUUCGUGCCAGCAGCCGCGGUAAUACGAGGGGGGCAAGCGUUGUUCGGAAUUAUUGGGCGUAAAGGGCGCGUAGGCGGUGCGGUAAGUCUCCGGUGAAAUCUCUGGGCUCAACUCAGAGUCUGCCGGGGAAACUGCCGUGCUGGAGUGUGGGAGAGGUGAGUGGAAUUCCCGGUGUAGCGGUGAAAUACGUAGAUAUCGGGAGGAACACCUGUGGCG
rnacentral:rRNA from 1 species